AGCAGAGAGAGACAAGCCCAAGCAAAUCCCAGCUUUAAGCUGGCUGUGACUAGUUUAGGGAGGAGCUGGUGUCUCUGAGCCAAGAGAAGUGAGGGAGGAGGAUGGAGUUCUUCCUGGACGGCAGCUCUGAUGUAGUUUCCAUGACAGUGAAGACGAUUUCUGUGGGUCCUGGAGAGGGCACACCAAUCCCCCAGUCUGGGGCUCUCUUAGGGAUGUCCCCCCAACUCUGAGUUCUUCCAUUUCUCUGGAGGGCUCCUGGCUCCCUGGAGGGUAAGGGCUUCCUCUUUACUCUUCAUCCAGGGUCAGGCUGAGGGGCCCUCCUCCCCCGGCUCUGGCUCCGCAUGCCGGCUGAGUGAGACAAGAUGCUGCUGCUGUCGCCACGCCACUGCUGUCACCUGGCUUCUGAUUCAGCACUCACACUCAGAGCAGUGCCAUCUCUGGGGGGAACAUUAGAGCCUCUUCCAGGGCUUGAGGUAGCUGGGGAGAGGAAGGAAUAGAGGGGCUGGAGGUUUCUGUUGGAAAUCACAUCCCAAUAACCUACGUUUACUGAGCACAUCCACAUGCCAUGCCCUGCUGCAAAGCCUUAACCUACCCAUGCAACCCUCACAGCAGUCCUGCGAAGAUGAGUCAUCCCAUUUUAGAAAAAAUUAAGGCCUUGGAAACAGACAUCUACCCUAAGGAUAUGCUCCAUAGACUGAGGACACCCCAAACAGACCCAUGGGCUCAAAGACUACACUUUGAGUGAAGACACAACAGGACGGGAGGAGGACAUUCCAGAGCCAGAGAGUAUUUGUGGACACACCCCAAUUAUGGAAGCUCACAGUCCUCCCCCUCCCCCACAACUUCCUGGAGGACACAUACACCAUACUCCCUGACACCCCCCAACACACCCUUGGUAGGAGCCUCUGUAGGUAAAUGUCUCCAUGUUUCUAGAAUAUUGGGGCUGGAUUCUGACCUGUUCACCAGGAGCUAUAAAAUGCAAAUGUGUGUUUUACAUAUGCAAAUGUACAACAAAGGCAGCCUGGGGGUUGCCCCAGAGCUGGAAGUUUGGAGCCCUGGGAUGAAGAGUGAGAGGCACUUGGAUUUGACCGGGAGACCCGGGAACCAUCAGAGAAGCAGGCUCUCCCAGGGAGCAAAACACAGGUUUUGCAUUACAGAGACCUGAAGGAGAGAGGGAAGGAUGCGGAAGUGAAACACGGUGAGUCCGGCUGGAGCUGGAAGAGUGUAUUUCUCUCCGUUGGACAGAACCUUGCACUUAGACCCAGAAGUUAAGGGUCUGUCUUUGGGGACUUCCUGUGAAAAAGAGCCUCAUCUCGUUGACCAGAUUUGAGAAAGAACAUUCCUGCCCUUCUACCAAUAUCACCCUCCUCUGGACUCCUCCAGACCCAGGUCCCCUGGUCCCAGCCUUUAGCAGCCGACCCCACCCACUGAGAUCCACCCCUGCCUACCCAUCUCUUGAACUUGACUGUUCUAGUUCCAAGAGCACACCAUGCCCCUGCAUGUUUCUUGCCACUGACUGGGACGUCCUCCUUCCCUCUCGGCCCACUUUUUGAACUCUUAUUUGUCCUUAACG
rnacentral:lncRNA from 1 species